GACGAACGCUGGCGGCGUGCCUAAUACAUGCAAGUAGAACGCACAGUUUAUACCGUAGCUUGCUACACCAUAGACUGUGAGUUGCGAACGGGUGAGUAACGCGUAGGUAACCUGCCUGGUAGCGGGGGAUAACUAUUGGAAACGAUAGCUAAUACCGCAUAAUAUUAAUUAUUGCAUGAUAAUUAAUUGAAAGGUGCAAUUGCACCACUACCAGAUGGACCUGCGUUGUAUUAGCUAGUAGGUGAGGUAACGGCUCACCUAGGCGACGAUACAUAGCCGACCUGAGAGGGUGAUCGGCCACACUGGGACUGAGACACGGCCCAGACUCCUACGGGAGGCAGCAGUAGGGAAUCUUCGGCAAUGGACGAAAGUCUGACCGAGCAACGCCGCGUGAGUGGAGAAGGUUUUCGGAUCGUAAAGCUCUGUUGUAAGAGAAGAACGGGUGUGAGAGUGGAAAGUUCACACUGUGACGGUAGCUUACCAGAAAGGGACGGCUAACUACGUG
rnacentral:rRNA from 1 species